AGCUCCUCCUUUAUUCUCACCUCCUCCCCCCCCCCAUAUGGGCAUAUGGACUAAAUAGGGUGAGGAAGCAAAGAAAAAGGGUGAUAAAAGGUUGGGUAUAUUGCAAGAUGAAAGGUGGGUUUGAGUGAUC